rnacentral:lncRNA from 1 species
GUCUGCUGCGUACAUGUGAUACAGGCUGGGAGAUCAGAACGCUAACAGAACAGGCAGUGUAAUUACAUGUUCCUUGUAAGUAUGUUAGCCCCACGGGGAACUGAGCUGGCUCGUCCACUUGGAGAGGGAAAGUAGAUUUAAGGAUGGUGGAAGGGGUCAUUUCCUAACUGACUUAUUACUCGGUGGUGAUGAGGGCAUUUGCUGAUCUCCAGUGACUGCCUGGUGCUUUUGGUCAGGCUCGGCUCUCUCACUCCCAGAUACUUGAUUUUGCAAAAGGGACACACCUUUCUGCAGGAAGAGAAGAUACUGACCAGAUUGCAAGCGGUGUUUGUGGAUGCUUCGCAGUCACCCAGGGUCCAGGCAAGCCGACCGUGCAUGGGCAUCGGAGACCAUGGCUGUGCAGCUGGUGCCCGACUCUGCUCUCAGCCUGCUGAUGGGGAAAUGUACCUUUGUGAGGCCUGAUGAGUUUAUUAAGAGCACUUGGAAGAGGAGCCAGUGGGGAGCCCGUCUCCUGAGCGAUGAGCUGGGUCAAGUUAAGAGGGAUGGAGAUCAUGGUUCGUUGUCACCCCAAAUGUCAUGUAAAAUGCCUGGGAUCUCAUGGGCUUCUGUUGAAUUUGAUUCCACUGGGAGAGGAGUAUUCAAGAAAAUUAAAGUUGUUUUCUGGAGAAAUUACCUGGUCGUCCGCUCCCUUCCUCAUACUUGGAUUGUCUAAUGUACUUUACGUCCAUGGUCUCCCUGGGGUCACAUACGUGG